rnacentral:rRNA from 1 species
ACUCCUACGGGAGGCAGCAGUGGGGAAUAUUGGACAAUGGGGGCAACCCUGAUCCAGCCAUGCCGCGUGAGUGAUGAAGGCCUUAGGGUUGUAAAGCUCUUUCAGCGAGGAGGAUAAUGACGUUACGUCGCAGAAGAAGCCCCGGCUAACUUUCGUGCCAGCAGCCGCGGUAAUACGAGGGGCGUAGCGUUGUUCGGAAUCACUGGGCGUAAAGCGCACGUAGGCGGAUUGAUAAGUUAGGGGUGAAAUCCCGGGGCUCAACCUCGGAACUGCCUUUGAUACUGUCAGUCUUGAGUCCGAGAGAGGUGAGNGGACUCCGAGUGUAGAGGUGAAAUUCGUAGAUAUUCGGAAGAACACCAGUGGCGAA